rnacentral:rRNA from 1 species
GAUGAACGCUGGCGGCGUGCCUAAUACAUGCAAGUCGAGCGAACGGACGAGAAGCUUGCUUCUCUGAUGUUAGCGGCGGACGGGUGAGUAACACGUGGAUAACCUACCUAUAAGACUGGGAUAACUUCGGGAAACCGGAGCUAAUACCGGCUAAUAUUUUGAACCGCAUGGUUCAAAAGUGAAAGACGGUCUUGCUGUCACUUAUAGAUGGAUCCGCGCUGCAUUAGCUAGUUGGUAAGGUAACGGCUUACCAAGGCAACGAUGCAUAGCCGACCUGAGAGGGUGAUCGGCCACACUGGAACUGAGACACGGUCCAGACUCCUACGGGAGGCAGCAGUAGGGAAUCUUGCGCAAUGGGCGAAAGCCUGACGGAGCAACGCCGCGUGAGUGAUAAAGGUCUUCGGAUCGUAAAACUCUGUUAUUAGGGAAGAACAUAUGUGUAAGUAACUGUGCACAUCUUGACGGUACCUAAACAGAAAGCCACGGCUAACUACGUG